CGCACAUUGCGCCUUCUGGUAUUCCGGUAGGCAUGCCUGUUUGAGCGUCAGCAAAACCCCUCAGCAGACAGUUUUUAUUAACAGUCAGCUGGCUUUGGGCCUGGAAGACGGUGGCGAAAGCCCUCGCUCCUGCCUUAAACUUGCUGCACGACCGCAAGCAUCUGGCUAGGUUAAUGGAGUGGUGUUUACAUUCUUUCCAUACUCUCCUGCUGGUGCUGGCGGCGUUAAACGCGAUGUUGCCCUGGUGCAACUGAAGUUUGACCUCAAAUCAGACAAGGAUACCCGCUGAACUUAA
rnacentral:misc_RNA from 1 species